rnacentral:rRNA from 1 species
CGGGUGAGUAAUGUCUGGGAAACUGCCUGAUGGAGGGGGAUAACUACUGGAAACGGUAGCUAAUACCGCAUAACGUCGCAAGACCAAAGAGGGGGACCUUCGGGCCUCUUGCCAUCAGAUGUGCCCAGAUGGGAUUAGCUAGUAGGUGGGGUAACGGCUCACCUAGGCGACGAUCCCUAGCUGGUCUGAGAGGAUGACCAGCCACACUGGAACUGAGACACGGUCCAGACUCCUACGGGAGGCAGCAGUGGGGAAUAUUGCACAAUGGGCGCAAGCCUGAUGCAGCCAUGCCGCGUGUAUGAAGAAGGCCUUCGGGUUGUAAAGUACUUUCAGCGGGGAGGAAGGUGUUGUGGUUAAUAACCACAGCAAUUGACGUUACCCGCAGAAGAAGCACCGGCUAACUCCGUGCCA